rnacentral:lncRNA from 1 species
UUAAAUAUAUCAUAUUAAUCAAGAGGAAACUUGUGUUCACAACUUACAAAUGUCAAAAAAUAUAAAUUAGAAAAAAAAUGAGAAUAUUUUUCUAAGUCUUCCUCAUUAUAAGCAAAGAAUCUUGCUCAUCAUAUCUUUUUCUUUUCUUCAUCAAAUUAAAAAAAAAGAAUCCUAAACAAAAAAUAAAUCAAAACUAUGACUUUACAGACUUGACCUUGCCUUGUUCAUAACCAUAGUACCAAAGAUACCAUUUAACAAACUUCCUCAACCCGGUAGGCAGAUCCGUAGUCGGUUUAUACCCGAGUUCGCGUUGAGCUAAACUUAUAUUCGCGUGUGUAAACGGAACAUCGCCAUUUCCAGGCAUAUCCACCACAUUCUUCUUCGCUUUCAUCUUCAAAUUCUUUUCGAGUAUACUCACGAGUGUCGGUACCGUAACAGGCGAGGUAUUACCCAAAUUAAAAAUCCUGUACGGGGCGGGCCCCUUUUUCUUCCCACCCGACCCGGUACUCUUACCCGCGGUAUCCAACGACCCCACACAUCCUUUCACAAUAUCAUCAAUAUACGUAAAAUCCCGUGCCAAAUCUACCCCAUUCUUCCCACGAUACACUGUUAUCGGUUUCCCCUGUAAAAUAUUCUUCGUAAACGAAAAAUAAGCCAUGUCAGGUCGGCCCCACGGCCCGUAAACCGUAAAAAAUCUCAACCCGGUUAUCGACAACCCGUAAAUAUGAUUAUAAGUAUGCGUUAUUUCUUCACCCGCUUUUUUUGUAGCCGCGUAAAGCGAAGCGGGUUGAUCCGUCCGAUCCGAUUCUGAAAACGGAACCUUGUCGUUUAACCCGUAAACCGAACUCGAACUCGCCCAUACAAUCGCGGGUUGUGGGUCGGCUGACUUGCAUUGCUCAAGUAAUGUAACCAAACCCGCAAUGUUACUAUGAACAUACGACUUAGGAUUCUCCAUCGCGUACCGGACACCCGCCUGUGCAGCCAAAUGCAUUACGUGUGUGAAACCAACAAUUUCAAAAAGUUUUGCUAAUAUAUUCUGAUCGUUAAUAUCAGCAUUUAUAAUAAAAAUAUUUUUAGAUUCCAGCAUCUUCCUUCGAGCUUUUUUCAACGCCGGAUCGUAGUAAUCGUUGAAGUUAUCGAUUCCGACGACACCGUCACCGCGUUUUUUCAACGCGAGUGACACGUGUGUCCCGACGAAACCGGCGGCGCCGGUGACGAGGACGGAGAAGCCGUUUUUCCGGUGGAUUUGUGAAGAUGAAAGAACGCGUUUCUCCCAAUGGGGUCCGGUAACGCUCCGGUGAGAUGUGUGGUGGAUGUGGUGGUUGCCGGUGGCGAUGAAGCUUAAAUACGACGCGGUUAAGGCGAUUAGAAACAACGCCCAUAGGAACAUAGUGCUGGUGGAUGCGAAACACCGGUGAAAAGUGCGGCGGUCGCUCUUGAUCUUCCCGGGUGUUGAUGGAAACAACUCUUCAUCCAUGUUAGAUUGAUGAAUUUGGGUGUCUGAAACAGAUUGUACAAAUGUGAAUUCUGGAUCCGAAAAUAGGAUUGCAGGUAGGUAAGAUCGACUUUACCUAUUGGAUGCAACCCUGCGCAAGCAGUGGUAUCAACAGUUUUUUUAGCUAUUUUAGGUUGUGUUCACAUUGGUUCUCGCGGUUCUUGCAAUAA